rnacentral:misc_RNA from 1 species
UAACCAAUCAAGCCUAGCUUGGUAUUAGAGCUUGCUGUGCCAGCAACUCCUAAAAUCAGUGGCAGCGCCGUUGGGUUCUAAGCGUAGUAAGUCUCCUCGCUAUAGAGUCUCUGCGGUGGCUUGCCAGGACCCCUAUUUCUCAC